AACAUGGGCUUCCCACUGAAAGCUUUAGGGCUACAGCACUGCCAAUCCCAAGCUCUGUGGCUCUGAGAGUGCAGUCAAUCUUCACUUCUUAAAGAUGGCUAAGAGGACAGACUCCCCCGUCCUAGGUCAAUUGUUCCAUCUCACACAGGCACGGGCUACCUCUGAGAGAGCACCUAAAUACACGGCCAGCCCAGAAUGAUAAGCUGCAGCUGAGACAGGUGCAUUUGGGUGCUGCAGGUAUAAACACACACAGUAUGAUGGAAGGGUAUUAUCUAAUCUAAGUGUGAAAAAUAUUUUUAUUGCUCUGG
ensembl:processed_transcript 4933400F21Rik RIKEN cDNA 4933400F21 gene